AGCGAACGCUGGCGGCAGGCCUAACACAUGCAAGUCGAACGGAUCCUUCGGGAUUAGUGGCGGACGGGUGAGUAACACGUGGGAACGUGCCCUUUGGUUCGGAACAACUCAGGGAAACUUGAGCUAAUACCGGAUGUGCCCUUCGGGGGAAAGAUUUAUCGCCAUUGGAGCGGCCCGCGUCUGAUUAGCUAGUUGGUGAGGUAACGGCCCACCAAGGCGACGAUCAGUAGCUGGUCUGAGAGGAUGAUCAGCCACACUGGGACUGAGACACGGCCCAGACUCCUACGGGAGGCAGCAGUGGGGAAUCUUGCGCAAUGGGCGAAAGCCUGACGCAGCCAUGCCGCGUGAACGAUGAAGGUCUUAGGAUUGUAAAAUUCUUUCAGCGGGGACGAUAAUGACGGUACCCGCAGAAGAAGCUCCGGCUAACUUCGUG
rnacentral:rRNA from 1 species